CCUACGGGUGGCAGCAGUGGGGAAUAUUGGACAAUGGGCGAAAGCCUGAUCCAGCCAUGCCGCGUGUGUGAAGAAGGCCUUCGGGUUGUAAAGCACUUUCAGUGGGGAAGAAAGCCUUGGGGCUAAUACCCUCGAGGAAGGACAUCACCCACAGAAGAAGCACCGGCUAACUCCGUGCCAGCAGCCGCGGUAAUACGGAGGGUGCGAGCGUUAAUCGGAAUUACUGGGCGUAAAGCGCGCGUAGGCGGUCUGAUAAGCCGGUUGUGAAAGCCCCGGGCUCAACCUGGGAACGGCAUCCGGAACUGUCAGGCUAGAGUGCAGGAGAGGAAGGUAGAAUUCCCGGUGUAGCGGUGAAAUGCGUAGAGAUCGGGAGGAAUACCAGUGGCGAAGGCGGCCUUCUGGACUGACACUGACGCUGAGGUGCGAAAGCGUGGGAAGCAAACAGGAUUAGAUACCCGAGUAGUC
rnacentral:rRNA from 1 species